AUUGGAUCCCGCGUGUGCUCUUGCCAACAUGAAAUCUAGCAUGAAGAUCUCCGUGUGCUUUUUUGUAACCAUUUUCGGCCUGCAGAUUAGCGCCAAUGAACUGCCCGAGAUCUGCACAAGUCCACGCAUGCUGCCAACGUGCACAGGUAACCUCUUUAGGGUCUAUUACUACGAUUCGGAGACUGAACAGUGCCUACCUGAAGAUACUUGCGUUGCUGGAGACAGCUUCAAGACAUUAAGAGAGUGCCAAGAAACAUGUGUCAAAAAAAAAGGAAAGAAUGUCCCUGUUGUCAAAGCAAUGCCGUUGUUUCUACAUAAGAACUUUCAUGCCAAACCUCCAAGCUAUGAAGGUUUCUACACGCAUCCAUACAUAAACCCCUAUAUAUCAUGGCCGGCCCCUGUAAGGUAUCCGUUCUUCUAUUGAGCAGUCUUUACCGCAUCAAAAGACCACAUAUAAGCUGCCACGGACCUCGGACACCGGAGGCGGUGCGGACACCAUCGCAAUUCGAAACGGCUUUUGAAUGAGUAUAUAACAGCUUACGGUGUAAAAGGAAGCUGCAUUACUUGGAAAACUUCCACCAACAAUGAAUUCUUCCGAAGUGCUGUCACUGCUAACGCAGCUUGGACUUACUCGC